UAUGACGUUUUUAUGAGAAAAAUAUUCAUAAAAAAUUAUGAAGAUAAAUAAUGUAAAUUUGAAGAAAACAAAAAGACAAAAAUAAUAAUAGUUUUCCACUAGAUUAUCACAAGUUAUAAAGAUGGAUAAUAAUACUAAUUAUUAAAAUUCACUAAGAUAAGGAUGAAAAUUUAUUAAUUAGAUAGGGAUAUUUUGAAUAAUAUCUUUUAAUGAUAUCAAUCAAACUUUUUAAAAUAAGCAAAAAGCUAAAUUAAUGACUUAGGGUGCGUUUGAGAUUGAGGAUGAGUAGUUAUAGCUUAAAAGUUACAGCACUGAAAUGUUUGGUAAAUACUAGCUGUUGUAAAAAGUCUAUUAGAAGCUAUGUUGAUAUGAUUUUUUACUUGUGUAAUAGAAAGUCUAUUAUAUCUUUAAUAAUUUUCUCAAAAUUAUUAUUUAAAAUUUAUAUUUACUACAUGUUAUUAAUUUUUUUCAUAGUUACAGCUUUUUUUCUACAGCAGCAGUAGUUUAAAAGGUAUAGCACCUCAAUUCCAAAUAGAACCUUAAUCAAUAAAAUUUUCAUUAAGAUGCAAAAAUAAGCAAUCUUAAUGACUUUACUGAUUAAAAUUGAGUUAUUAAGUCACUAAGUUAACAAAACAAACAACCCUUUUGUUAACAAAGCAAUAAAAGAAUUUUUAUUUUUUAAUUUCAUUCUCAUUUUCAUGUUUCUCAUACUUUUUUCAAGUGUAUGAAUGAUAUAGAAAAGCCUCUAAAUUAAUUAAUUAUAAGCAAUAUCCCAUUGGCGACACCGAUUCCCUUAAGAUUAAGAGUAUAGGUCCCAAUUUCAACAAUUGUUGGACUUAUUUCCCUUCCCAAUUUAAUUGGGUAUGAGUAGAUAUUUUCCCUACUAAUAUAAGCAGAGCAUGAUAACUCUAUAAUAUUACGUGAGGAUAGAAAUUUAAGUUAUGUUAUAAUAGACUUGAUUUACGCUUGAAUUAGAGAAGUCCUAGUCGAUUCCUAAUUGAUAUAUUGUAUAUAUCAGUAAAUUUCUAAUUGUAAUAUACAUAUCAAUGUGUGUGUCUGUGUGUGUGGGCAAUGAUUAUGUUGGAUCAGCUCCAUGGUGGAGCACUGAUAAUAACCGUUAGACCAUAACAAUAAGUAUAUAUUUAAUAUUUACCUCUAUGACCGUACAGUCAUCAUCAGUGCUCCACUAUGGGGCUGAUCCAACUUAGUUAAACAUAUAUUGGUGCGAAUAGGUUGUUGAUAAAUAAUCUCCAAGAUACAAUGACUUAACUUCUAAGAAUGCAUACUCAAUACAACAAUUUAGAAUAAUAGGGAAUAAAGGGCCAGGUUGGAAUUGCGGUGGCUGAUUAAAUAAGAUACUUUUGUAGUGCGGAUGAAAUAAGCUACUAAUUAAAAAAAAAUUGGUGUUUGGUAAAUUGUGUUGUUAUGAUUGCUGUGUGAGUUUAAAAAGUAGCGUGCACAGUUUGACAAAUUUUAUUACAAAAGUAUUGUUUUAUUAUGUAAUGACUAAAAUAGACAUAAUUUUAAAUUACCUUUUAUUUUUUAGAGUAUGUUUAAUAAUGUUUAGAGAUGCAUUUUUCUUUCUAAAAUACAUAAAAUUACAUAAAGGGAAAAAACUUAAUUAUAUAAAAUCAAUGAACUUCAUAAUCUGAUACAUAAAAUAUGAUAAAAAUUCAUAUCAAUACAUAAUCUAAAUAGAAAUAAAAAAGUAAUAUGCAUUACAUUCAUAUUAAACUUGUUGCAAUAAACACCUUAUAUAUGGAAAAAAAUAUAUGAUUGAAUGUUAAAAAGCAAUAGUUAUGAAAUUGAUUUUAAAAGUCAUGGUUAAAUUUCAUGUGAAAUUGUUCGCAGUUUAAAGAAAAUUUAUGUAAUCAUAUGUAAGUCUUAUUAAAUCUUAUAAUAGAACAUAAAAGUAAAAUAUGAAAAAUAUAAAUUUACUGGUCAAAAUUUUAUAAUUGUAAGGGUAAUUUGAUUAUUAUGGUAAUAUGAUAUCUAAUGCCUUAUAUAUUAGGUGUAUGGAAAAAUAAGAUAUAAUUAUCUUUUUGUUAAAGUAUUAAGGUUAUAAUAGAAAUUUUAAAAAGUAGUAAUGACUUAUUAAAUAAGCUGCUUAUGAAAAAAAAAAACUCUCUACCUACUUUUAAAAGCUGCUGUCAAAAUGGUAAAAAUUAUAAAAUAAGCAGAUUUUACAAAGUUUACCAAACACUAUUUUUAUAAACAAUUAUGAAAUAGGCAGUUUAUUGAAAUUUAACCUCAAUCUCAAAAGGGCCAAAAUAACAGUGUUUAUUGUAGUAGUAAUUAAUACAUGGAAGAAGUAUAGUUGAACACGAAGCAGAGACCGAACUGAACGAAAUGACAAAAUUCUAAUUCCCCCUAUUUAUAAACGAAUGGUGGCUAUUUCAAACACUUUCAAAUAGUCACUUGCGUUAAAUUUCUUAAUCACCUUAACUUCCUUUAACCAAUUCCAAGGGCCCGUUUGGGAUUGCGGUUGAAAUUCAAUAAGCUGCUCAUUUUAUAAUUUUCGAUAAAAAUAGUGUUUGGUAAAUUUUGUAAAAGCAACUUAUUUCAUAAUUUUCUCCAUUUU
rnacentral:lncRNA from 1 species